GCUUAUGUAGUCAGUAGCAUGAGACUCAAUUCAGAGUCGCCAUUGAGUGUCCUUUCUGUUCCAUCCUGAGGGCUUAGCUCUGAAAGGGACAAGAGUUGCCUGUCCUCAUUUCUUGGCUAACAGCUCCUCUCCAUGAUACAAGUCUGUCUCAAAUUGGAGAUGUUUUAUCAAGUCUGCCCAGGAGGAUUUCUUCAGAGGGAAGAUUGGUAAAACUAUUUACUUGGCCUUUACCCAUAAGUCAUCGAAGGCCCCAUUUCCACAGCAUGCUGAAGCCAUCAUCUCAAGAAGCUUAGAGGUCCAGCACCUUGCCUAGACUGAUCUGAAACUCCCUAUGUAACCCAGUCUCCUGUAGCCUACCUACCCUCUAGCCUGGAACUCGCUAUUCUCCUGGGACUGACUGGGAACCUCUGCUUUCCACAUCCUAGGUAUUGGCUUAUGACACUUCAGCAGGCCGCCUCUCUACCGUCAGGUCAAGCUGGAGUGGCUCAGUUAGAGGGAAAUGAACUUCACCUUCAGUCAGCAUCAGACUUCUUUCUGGUCUACAAGAGGGAAAUGUGGUUCCUGUCUGAGCCAUAUUAACUCUUCAAGAGAACAAUUGCAUUCUGCGUCUGUGUUCUAAAGAAAUGAACCAAGGAACCAUCCAUCCAUCUGCUUCGGAACGUGUUCCACACUGGUUUAAGCCAUGUGGCUAGAUGUUCUUCUACUAGACUAAUAAAAACAUUCCUGGCUUAUGUUUCAAUGGACCGGAGAAGCAGAACUUGCACUUCGUGGCUCUGCCUGGAAACUGCCUGCCAGCAUGCAAAUCUCCUCCUGGUGCUGAUGGAAAUCUGAGAAUGUGCUAAGCUGUGGAAGGCUUAAGAGCAACAUUAUUCAUUCACUAUUUGAAAUAUUUAAACAAAUGGAAAUCAAAAAAAGAGAUGAAAUCUCAUUAUAAGAAAUGAAUGGCUGCUUUCUGCGCUCUCUACAGUACAGUCUCGAUACCAUUUACAUAGCAU